AUGGCUUCAACUACCGUUCCCAAACUCAAAUUCAAUGAAUAUUUAGAUCAGAAAAUACAGGAAAGGGCGGGAGGAAAACAGGAAUAUAAAACAAUAAAGAAGAUAUGGGGGGAAAUUAGGCUAAGAUGGACCCAGGCAGGUUACAUUAGUGGAGUUGCCCCAUCCAGGGAACAACUCAGCACUAUGGAAAGAGAAUUAGAGGAGGCAGUCAGGCACGGGAGAGAGAGUGAGGCAGAAAAAAAUAGCAGCCAUUUUUUCAAGAAGGAAGGAACGAAGGAGAGAGAGAGAGCGGAGGCGGAGCUGAGAAUAGGGACAUGGGCAAUAGAGGAGACAAAAAGGACACGCCCACAAAAGAAACCUGAUAUGAUGGGGGUGCUUGCUGGGGCCUCAGAUGACGUCAGAGAAGGCACAAACAACGACCACAACACACCACCGCCCACCGUGACCACCCCAUCGGCCCCGCUCUCUCUAUACCCGCCACUGCCACAGGAAGAGAAGAUUGAAGUGCCACCUCCCUAUUCACAAAAUCCAUUCGCAUACAACCCAUUUAAAACCCACACCACACCAGCAGCAAUACAGGCCCCGGUCUUCAUGGUGCAGGGAGGACAGCUAAAAGGGAACAUGACUGUGGGGAUUCAAGAAGGCCACCUUGUCUGUGAAGAAAGGCCCGAUUGCUCAAGCCCCACAGCACUACAAGGCCCAGGUGGGUCCCUGCUGAACCACCCACAAGGAAGGGAAGGUGAAUCACAAACGGGCCUCCUAAAGAGAGAAGGCCACGAUCUUAUUCAGUUCUCCUCCACUUCGAACACAGAGUGGUACGGACGCAGAGGUAAAGAAGAUGAUCAAGGGUCGUGGGUGUCACAAGGAAAAUGUUCCGUCAGGGCUUCAUCAAGAGAACACCCCAGUAAAGACGAUGAAAGCGAAAAUAAAUCUGGCCUGGAUGAGGAGGAAAUGGAUCGGGACACCCGGAACUCACUAGCCAAAGCCAGAACUAUGAUAGAUGAAGCGAAACAAGGAGGGGGCACAUUCCAUGUGGAAGGGGUGAUGCUAGGAAAAGUGACGGACUUGAUCGAACCUGUCAGACAGUCCGUAAGGCUCUCAGAACUAAGAAGCAGGGGAGUCUCAUCCAGAGAUGACUGGAAUCCCCUACAAGGAGAGACUGAAAGGACAGGUUUCCAAAUGCCGUUAAGGCCCACUCCUGGUGGAGAAUACGAAGAGUACCAACCCUGGAAAAUGACAGACCUCACCACUUUAAUGGAACAGUUGCCCAGUCUGCAUGGGGGUGCCUCUGUAUGGCUCCUCCAACUACAGACUCUUACCUCUGGCCUACGCCUCUGUCUGGGAGACAUGAAGGCCCUGUUGGCCAGAGCUACAGACCAUACUACCAUGAUGGCUCUCAUAAGAGACGCAGAUCUGGCUACGGGCCCAGCUGCACUAGGUCUAGAACGAUUCCGAACUCAGUUAUGGGCUGAGUUGAGAAGAGCAUACCCUACCGAACGAAACCACUCAACCCUGUCAUCGUUCACCAUCAAUCCAGGGGAACAACCAGCAGCCUACCUGGAUAGAGCAAAGACAACAUGGAGAACCGUUCAUGAAGACCCAUAUGAUCACACUGCUACCACACUCAGCAUGUGGAAGGAAAUGGUGGUGAACGGAACCCAGAAUGAAGUCUGUAUAAAACUAAGGGGCACAGUGGGGCUGAUGGCGCUACCGUUAGCUCAGUUUAACUCCCAUGUGCAUCACCACAUCACCCAAUUUAACAAGGAAAAGGGUGGAGCGGAUACACAAGUUCAGUCCCUACAGGUACAACUUCUGAAACUUCAGAUAAAAGAAGCCCAAAAGGGGGAGAAACCCAAGAAACAGAUGAUGUCGGAGGAACCUCCUGAUAUCACACAAAUCAUUGAGAAAACUGUAAAUAUAAGGUCCUGGUCUCUUCUAUUCUGGUCUCUAUCUCUGUGUUUGUUGCAAUACUAA
rnacentral:lncRNA from 13 species